CCAGAAAAGAAUGCGGUUGCUUUAAAAAUAAAUCUCCACAAAAGCAGCCUGGUAUGUACCCAAAGUGCCAAAAAGGUCGACACUGGGCUAACCAGUGCCGAUCUGCUUUUCAUAAGGACGGCACCUCCCUUUCGGGAAACGGCAAUUGGGGCGGGCUCCCAGCCCCUCACAAAAAGGGAGCAUUCACAAUCCAACAUCAAAAUCUGCAGGCUGUCCCUCCACCAACUCCAAGUCCUCCAUCUUGGAGCUUUCCCCGGCUACAGCAGGGCGCGCAGCAGUAGACCUCGCUGCCAAUGCUGAGGUGAUGGACGAGCACCACUUUGGAUACUGGCCCGACAACUGAAACCGUACCAUGAACCCAGCAAAGAAAAGAAAAUUCCUUUGGGACAUCAAGCUGCCAGUAAUGCAGUUCCAGGGUCUGACGUUGAAGACAACAGUGAUCGGGCCAAAACCCUGAACUAGGGAAGCCCAACAUCCAACUUGGGGUCAGAUAAAAAAGCUGUGUCAAGAUGCAGAAAAACAAGUCCAGCAAGCCAUGCUGCCAGUAACAUGUCCUAACCUGACUGCAGCAAUGUUGGCUCUUAUUGCUGUUGCUUCCUCAGAUGCAUGAGAAAAACCUUCUCAGAACAAAAACAGAAAGAAGCUGCUUGGUCCAUCCUGUCUACAAUGAAGAAACAAAAAUGGGGACAUGUGGGAAACUGAGUCUUCCAUCUUGUCUGAGGCAUAUCUAGGGUGGUGGUUUGGAACGCUAAGCCACAGGCAUGCAUGGAACGCCGUGUGGGCCUGCCCUGUAAAGAUAUGUGUCCUGUGACUAUGACGACAACAUUUACCAUUGUCCUAAACCUAGAUUGUUCCUUCUGAUAUGCAACAGGAUAUAAACAUAGGUAUCUGGUGGGCUCUCCCGAGCCU